CGGGACCACAUCCUCUUUUCUUUGAUGAGAAGCCACCUGGCUCUUGCUUGGAUGGUGGGACCCAGCCCUGGCUGGGUAAAAUGUGUCCAGCGGGUUUCUCCUGUCUCACGGUUCCUCUUUCUGACAGGUGUUGCACCCUGGCCUGCUCGCUCAGGUGCAUAUGGACCUGCUGCUGAUGAAGAUUGGCAGCCGAGUCCUCGGACUUUUGCCAGGCAUCAAGUGGCUUAGCUUGCCUGAGAUUGUGGAGGAAUUUGAGAAGCUGAUGGUCCAACAGAUUGACCUGCGUUACGAAGCUCAGAAUCUAGAACACUUCCAGGUCAACUUCCGGAAUGUGAAAGCCGUCAAGUUCCCCACCCCUCUGCGCCCCUUUGUCACCAGAGAAGUCUUGGUGGAAACGUAUGAAGAGAGUGUGCCUGUGUCCAGUUACCAGCAGGCAGGAAUUCCCAUGGACUUGAAAAGGAAGAUUGCACGGCUGGGGAUCAACAUGCUCCUGAAGAUGAUAUUUGUGGAUAACUUUGUCCAUGCAGACCUUCACCCUGGAAACAUCCUGGUUCAGGGUGCCGACGGCCUGUCCUCGAGUCAGGAGGCGCAGCUGCAGCAGGCGGACAUCUGUGACACUCUGGUGGUGGCUGUGCCAUCUUCCCUGUGCCCGCUGCGACUGGU
rnacentral:sRNA from 1 species